rnacentral:tRNA from 1 species
UCUUAGCUUAGUUGGUAGAGCGCCUGCUUUGCACGCAGGAGGUCAGGGGUUCGACUCCCCUAGAGU